AUUGAACGCUGGCGGUAUGCCUUACACAUGCAAGUCGAACGGUAGAGGAGCAAUCCUCGAGAGUGGCGAACGGGUGAGUAAUACAUCGGAACGUGCCCAGUCGUGGGGGAUAACGUAGCGAAAGCUACGCUAAUACCGCAUACGACCUGAGGGUGAAAGCGGGGGACCGUAAGGCCUCGCGCGAUUGGAGCGGCCGAUGUCAGAUUAGCUAGUUGGUGGGGUAAAGGCCUACCAAGGCAACGAUCUGUAGUUGGUCUGAGAGGACGACCAGCCACACUGGGACUGCGGCACGGCCCAGACUCCUACGGUGGGCAGCGGUGGGGAAUUUUGGACAAUGGGCGCAAGCCUGAUCCAGCAAUGCCGCGUGCAGGAAGAUGGCCUUCGGGUUGUAAACUGCUUUUGUCAGGGAAGAAAUCUUCUGGGCAAAUACCCCGGGAGGAUGACGGUACCUGAAGAAUAAGCACCGGCUAACUACGUGCCAGCCGCCGCCGUAACAC
rnacentral:rRNA from 1 species